AAUAAGACUUUAGUUUAGAGAUGAAGAAAUUGGCGAUAAAUUUUCUGCAUCAAAAGACACUCCAAGAAUUAUUGCCCCAAAGGGAGCUUCGCGAAAUUUUUCACGAAACUCUCAGGCCACAGGGAACCUAGCCAGUAGGGUAGAUUGAAGUUGAAGGUGUGGAUUUGGCUACCAAUUCCCUUCUAUGUGUCAUCACACAGCUUCAUUCUUGAUCUUACUAAAAUUUACUUCAGUAUUCAUCAGAAAACAAAUGCUAUCAAGGAGAUGAUUUCUGGAGCUCUUGGGACAGAGGAACGUGAUGUCAAUGGGAUACUUGCAAACACCAACUGAUCUAGUCACACGAAUUUUGGUCACAUUCUGAGUUUCAUCACAUGGCAAUCACUGAGUGCUAACGCUCAGGGAUUCAUGGCCAAAAUACCUGUUGCUUUCCUCUGGGCAACAGAUUCUCUUCAGCAUUCACAUACCAGCUGUGGGAACUGAUUGUUACCAUGCAGUAUGGAAAUGGGGAGGAAUGAACAUAGCCUAGCACAUAAAAUCUGAAAUGCACAAGUCUCAUGAAAAUUUGAUUAAAGUAUACGUAACUGUUCGUGUAUUGUCCUUCCAAUAUUACUCAGGUAAAUUCACCUUUGCCUUGGUUUCUGACAAUGUUUAGCAAUUGAAAGAUUUGAUCGGUGUAUAUGACAAAGAGCAUGUGUCAUCCCCUUCAUCAAUGAUUUGGUUUUGGGUACCUAUUGACCUAUUGAUCGCUUAGGGAAGUAACUUUCCAUGUGUUGGGAAUGUCAGCAUGGAAGUGGAUGUUGCAAGAGUGAUUCUGCUAAGUGGCAUCAUACAUUAGACUUCUUAAACAGCCUCCUUAAAAUUAAUAUGAUUGUAUGAACUGAAGGGAUACAAUUCCCCUCACAUCUUGCUCUUUCCCUUUUAGAGAGGACAGUCUUGAAAUUCAAGCUAGGUCUACCCUUAUUCCACACAAGAGCGCUGUGCCCUUGUACCCUCUGCACUUGCAAGUGAGGAUUCAAAUUCUGAGGCAGUGUUGGCAGCCAAGUCACCUGGCAUCACUCCUGCGGUCCAGUGGAUCACUAUUCCCAGAGGACAGUCUUCAAAUUCAAGCUAGGUCUACCCUUAUUCCACACAAGAGCGCUGUGCCCUUGUACCCUCUGCACUUGCAAGUGAGGAUUCAAAUUCUGAGGCAGUGUUGGCAGCCAAGGUAAGCCAUGGUGCAGGUGAAAUUACAUUAUUGACAGUUGUGUCCUACCUGUGUCUGGGUCAAUGAUGACAACAGAAAGUCAAGAACAGAAUGAUGACAUAAAAAUCAUGCU